rnacentral:rRNA from 1 species
AGAGUUUGAUCAUGGCUCAGGAUGAACGCUAGCUACAGGCUUAACACANGCAAGUCGAGGGGAAACGACAUCGAAAGCUUGCUCUUGAUGGGCGUCGACCGGCGCACGGGUGAGUAACGCGUAUCCAACCUGCCCACCACUUGGGGAUAACCUUGCGAAAGUAAGACUAAUACCCAAUGAUAUCUCUAGAAGACAUCUGAAAGAGAUUAAAGAUUUAUCGGUGAUGGAUGGGGAUGCGUCUGAUUAGCUUGUUGGCGGGGUAACGGCCCACCAAGGCAACGAUCAGUAGGGGUUCUGAGAGGAAGGUCCCCCACAUUGGAACUGAGACACGGUCCAAACUCCUACGGGAGGCAGCA